CAGCAGCCGCGGUAACACGUAGGGGGCGAGCGUUGUCCGGAAUUACUGGGCGUAAAGGGUGCGUAGGCGGCCCAAUAAGUCAGGUGUGAAAAACCGUGGCUCAACUGCGGUAUUGCACAUGAAACUGUUGGGCUUGAGUGCAGGAGAGGAAAGUGGAAUUCCUAGUGUAGCGGUGAAAUGCGUAGAGAUUAGGAAGAACACCUGUGGCGAAGGCGGCUUUCUGGCCUGUAACUGACGUUGAUGCACGAAAGCGUGGGGAGCAAACAGGAUUAGAUACCCUGGUAGUCCACGCUGUAAACGAUGGAUACUAGGUGUAGGGUGUGAACAGCAUUCUGUGCCGCAGUUAACGCAUUAAGUAUCCCGCCUGGGGAGUACGGCCGCAAGGCUGAAACUCAAAGGAAUUGACGGGGGCCCGCACAAGCAGCGGAGCAUGUGGUUUAAUUCGAAGCAACGCGAAGAACCUUACCGGGGCUUGACAUCCCUCUGGAGCGUAUAGAGAUAUACGCGACUUAUGUCGUAAGAUAUAAGGCAGGGGAGACAGGAGGUGCAUGGCC
rnacentral:rRNA from 1 species